CNUGCAGUCGAGCGGUAGAGAGAAGCUUGCUUCUCUUGAGAGCGGCGGACGGGUGAGUAAUGCCUAGGAAUCUGCCUGGUAGUGGGGGAUAACGUUCGGAAACGGACGCUAAUACCGCAUACGUCCUACGGGAGAAAGCAGGGGACCUUCGGGCCUUGCGCUAUCAGAUGAGCCUAGGUCGGAUUAGCUAGUUGGUGAGGUAAUGGCUCACCAAGGCGACGAUCCGUAACUGGUCUGAGAGGAUGAUCAGUCACACUGGAACUGAGACACGGUCCAGACUCCUACGGGAGGCAGCAGUGGGGAAUAUUGGACAAUGGGCGAAAGCCUGAUCCAGCCAUGCCGCGUGUGUGAAGAAGGUCUUCGGAUUGUAAAGCACUUUAAGUUGGGAGGAAGGGUUGUAACCUAAUACGUUGCAAUUUUGACGUUACCGACAGAAUAAGCACCGGCUAACUCUGUGCCAGCAGCCGCGGUAAUACAGAGGGUGCAAGCGUUAAUCGGAAUUACUGGGCGUAAAGCGCGCGUAGGUGGUUCGUUAAGUUGGAUGUGAAAUCCCCGGGCUCAACCUGGGAACUGCAUUCAAAACUGUCGAGCUAGAGUAUGGUAGAGGGUGGUGGAAUUUCCUGUGUAGCGGUGAAAUGCGUAGAUAUAGGAAGGAACACCAGUGGCGAAGGCGACCACCUGGACUGAUACUGACACUGAGGUGCGAAAGCGUGGGGAGCAANCAGGAUUAGAUACCCUGGUAGUCCACGCCGUAANCGAUGUCAACUAGCCGUUGGGAGCCUUGAGCUCUUAGUGGCGCAGCUAACGCAUUAAGUUGACCGCCUGGGGAGUACGGCCGCAAGGUUAAAACUCAAAUGAAUUGACGGGGGCCCGCACAAGCGGUGGAGCAUGUGGUUUAAUUCGAAGCAACGCGAAGAACCUUACCAGGCCUUGACAUCCAAUGAACUUUCCNNANNUGGAUCGGUGCCUUCGGGAACAUUGAAANNGGUGCUGCAUGGCUGUCGUCAGCUCGNNUCG
rnacentral:rRNA from 1 species